CAAACGUACAAUGAGCGUUUCUAUGCUCCGGCUCGCGUGACGAGGCAAAUUGCAUCUGUAUUGCAAACUGGAAGAAAUGAUAAAAGAGAAAAAUGAUGAGAAACAAAAAACAAAUAUCUCAGAUAAAUUAUACUCACAAUGCGACAACGUCAAGAAGCUGUUUGCAAAGCGCUAAAACCGAACCAAUUACGGUCUGUGCACGAUUAAAAGUUGUGUCGUUCGCACUACGCAUUCUUCAUUCGACAACUUUAUAGCCUCUAUCGUAACAGUUAAUAACUACUAAGUUUACGAUACAGUCGCACAUCCAUUGGAUUACUAGUCCUUAAUUUAACGCGUCUUACAUUUUCCCUUAACUGGCAUGACACGCGGUCUGUCAGAUCGCUGUAAUUAUUCACAGAUGAAGGAAACGAUAUUCAAACAAAAUUAUACGUGUUGUUAUUGAGCGGAAGGUAUUAUUAAGUAGAGGGAUACAGAGGUUUUUCAAGCUAGAGGAUAAGGAAAACGAAAGGAAUGACGGAGAACAGAGAUCUGCGAGACCGCUGUGUGCCAGUUUUGAAAAUCUGAAUCGCACAUUGAAUGAAAACUGAACAAUUUAAGAACGCAGAGAUCGUACAUUUAAUUAAUUGGAGGGUGUGCUCUGAGAAAGAUGUCUAAGCUAAGAAAAUCAAGGCGUUUACGAGGGACAGCGAGUGUUCAAGCCGUUUGCAGAAAUCAAAAUUUCAGAUCACACAAUUCACAUGACACUUUCGUAAAGCGUACUGAAUGUUAGCACUUAACGUGUUACUUAUUCCAAGCAGCUUAAACACAGGCUGCUAGAACAUAAUGUAUAAAAAAUAAUGAUACAUCAACAAAAAAUA